rnacentral:rRNA from 1 species
CCUACGGGGGGCAGCAGUCGAGAAUCAUUCACAAUGGGGGAAACCCUGAUGGUGCGACGCCGCGUGGGGGAAUGAAGGUCUUCGGAUUGUAAACCCCUGUCAUGUGGGAGCAAAUUAAAAAGAUAGUACCACAAGAGGAAGAGACGGCUAACUCUGUGCCAGCAGCCGCGGUAAUACAGAGGUCUCAAGCGUUGUUCGGAAUCACUGGGCGUAAAGCGUGCGUAGGCUGUUUCGUAAGUCGUGUGUGAAAGGCGCGGGCUCAACCCGCGGACGGCACAUGAUACUGCGAGACUAGAGUAAGGGAGGGGGAACCGGAAUUCUCGGUGUAGCAGUGAAAUGCGUAGAUAUCGAGAGGAACACUAGUGGCGAAGGCGGGUUCCUGGACAUUAACUGACGCUGAGGCACGAAGGCCAGGGGAGCGAAAGGGAUUAGAUACCCUUGUAGUC